ACAAUGUACUUGGCAGUUACGAGGUAGGUAAUUCUGGGCUUCCAACAACUGGUAAAAAGGAAAAGAAGAGAGGAAGAUUCAGCGCUCUCUGUGGACUCAACCCAAAGUGUACAAAGAAGGUCAACAAGAAGAACCACUGCACUCCAACACCUUCCCAGAACCAGACCCCUUGCUGUCAGUGAAACAGCAAUUGUCAAUGAUCAAGAAUCCUGCCCAACAGAGAGUGUAUGCUCCACCAAGAAGAAACCAAGGAAGCGUUCGCUCAUUUCCAGGAUGUUUUCAGCUAUAGGCAAAGCCUUGUCCAGUCCCUUUACUUCCUGCUAUGAAAAGAAGAG